AUUCUCUGGUCAGAGUCUCAAAAGACCACAGUCAAUAUGCAGAGUGGGUUGGGUUCUCAUGGGGAGAUUUGACCAGGGAAGCAGAUUCUGCCCUGCCUGGGUGGUUGUUGGCAGCAUUCAGUCCCUCACCUCUUCAAAAUCCACAAGGAGAGAGAGAGAGGCUGGAUUUUCAUAAGUUAAAAGAAAAAAGAUAAAUCUAAGCAGAAUGUCACUGGUUACCUACCAGGCCAAAUCCUCACUGUCUCUGUGAACACCCAGCCUACGAUUCUCCUAGAAACUGUCCCGGGAGCAGAGAGAUGAAGCAGGGCCAUCUGUCAACUUGGAAAGGCUCUUACACCAGGCAGGCAGAGUCACUCAAUAAAAUGGAAGUAUCAUUAUUGGCAUUGUUGGGAAGGAUGAAAUAAGAGACAGCUUUGUUCGUGGAUUUAUUCCCAGAGAUUCAGGA